rnacentral:rRNA from 1 species
GAAACUUGCCCCGAGAUGAGUUCUCCCUGAGACUUAAAGUCUCCUGAAGGAACGUUGAAGACGACGACGUUGAUAGGCCGGGUGUGUAAGCGCAGCGAUGCGUUGAGCUAACCGGUACUAAUGAACCGUGAGGCUUAACCCUACAACGCCGAAG